rnacentral:rRNA from 1 species
UCCUGGCUCAGAACGAACGCUGGCGGCAGGCUUAACACAUGCAAGUCGAGCGCCCCGCAAGGGGAGCGGCAGACGGGUGAGUAACGCGUGGGAAUCUACCCUUCACUACGGAACAACUCCGGGAAACUGGAGCUAAUACCGUAUACGUCCUUCGGGAGAAAGAUUUAUCGGUGAUGGAUGAGCCCGCGUUGGAUUAGCUAGUUGGUGGGGUAAUGGCCUACCAAGGCAACGAUUCAUAGCUGGUCUGAGAGGAUGAUCAGCCACACUGGGACUGAGACACGGCCCAGACUCCUACGGGAGGCAGCAGUGGGGAAUAUUGGACAAUGGGCGAAAGCCUGAUCCAGCCAUGCCGCGUGAGUGAUGAAGGCCCUAGGGUUGUAAAGCUCUUUCACCGGUGAAGAUAAUGACGGUAACCGGAGAAGAAGCCCCGGCUAACUUCGUGCCAGCAGCCGCGGUAAUACGAAGGGGGCUAGCGUUGUUCGGAAUUACUGGGCGUAAAGCGCACGUAGGCGGACUAUUAAGUCAGGGGUGAAAUCCCGGGGCUCAACCCCGGAACUGCCUUUGAUACUGGUAGUCUCGAGUCCGGAAGAGGUGAGUGGAAUUCCGAGUGUAGAGGUGAAAUUCGUAGAUAUUCGGAGGAACACCAGUGGCGAAGGCGGCUCACUGGUCCGGUACUACGCUAGU